AUUGAACGCUGGCGGCAUGCCUUACACAUGCAAGUCGAACGGAGAUUAUUAAUGAAGCUUGCGAUUUAAUAAUCUUAGUGGCGGACGGGUGAGUAACGCGUGGGCAACCUACCCAUAAGAGGGGGAUAACAGCUGGAAACGGCUGCUAAUACCGCAUAAACUUUUUAAGACCCAUGUUUUAAAAAGGAAAGGUGGCGCAAGCUAUCGCUUAUGGAUGGGUUCGCGUCCUAUCAGCUGGUUGGUGGGGUAACGGCCUACCAAGGCGAAGACGGGUAGCCGGUCUGAGAGGAUGGCCGGCCACACUGGAACUGAGACACGGUCCAGACUCCUACGGGAGGCAGCAGUGGGGAAUAUUGGGCAAGUGGGGGAGACCCUGACCCAGCGACGCCGCGUGAGGGACGAAGGGUUUUCGGAUCGUAAACCUCUGUUGUACGGGAAGAAGGAUGUGACGGUACCGUACGAGGGAAGCCCCGGAAACUACGUG
rnacentral:rRNA from 1 species